UCCGAUGUAAGCCUGCCGGCAAUCCUAGCACUGGCAUUCUCCUCCCUGUCGAACCAUGCAAUCUCGUUCCGAAGAAUGGAGGUGAGCAUCUUCUCCCGAACACGUUUCGUCAAGUUCUCCCCGACCACGUCCCAGAAGAGAUGCUGCAUGGUGUUGAAGAGGAGAGCAACAGAGGAAACGCCGAUCAUGAGGUAGCAGUAUUUGCCGAUCUCCCGCCGCAUGUACUUGUAGUCCUGAGCGUAGUAGGCACUGAGGACAGCACUGAGGACGUAGGCGAAGAAGGCGCUCAUGGAACCACACACCAUGGAGC
rnacentral:lncRNA from 1 species